AGGUCGCAGUUGUAAAUAAGAACUUGUUCUCAACUGGCCUACCUGGUUAAAUAAAGACAGAUAAGAAGCCUGUGCUAACUACUGCUGUAGAUCUGAAGAGGAGGCGUUGUAAAGACACUCUUACCUGAACCAGACAAAGGACCAAACAAUGAAACCACCCAGGAACGUGUAUAUAAUUCAUUUAUAUUAAAUCACUGCUAUCUGUCUGUCUGCCAUGCUGUUGCACUGUAAUAGUUGAAAACGGAUCACAAUCGUGUGUGCGUGUGUGUGUGUGCGCCUGUGUGAACAAAUGUUUUACUCAACUGUUCAGGAGUGUGUGGUCGUGUUUUUAGGCCUUGCCUGUAUUUAUAGUCGGAUUUGUGGAAAAAUUAACUUUCAUGUGGUGGCUGGGCCAUUGUGGAGAUAUGAGGCACAUGAUUAGUAGUAUCUGCUUCAUUAUCAAAUCAUAAACUACAGACUUGAAAUGUCUAUCUGUUUGUGUCCCAAAUGGAACCCUAGUCCUUAUAUAGUGUGCUACUUUUGACCAGAGACACAUGGGCCCUGGUCAAAAAUAAUGCACUAUAUAGGGCAUAGGUUGAAAUUGGGGACAGAGACCAUGUUAACCGCUUUAUUCUGUUAAACAUCCCAUGUUCUUUGAGUUGCCUUCAGGAGUAAGUAAAGAAUGCUGUUUUCCAAUAAACUUGAAAUGUGUAGGUAGGGCACACUGGACCAUUUUGUUUCUUGUACACACUUGUUCAGAAGCUUUUAAGCUUUUGUAUUGAUUUUGGCCAAUGUGUUUUUAUACAUGUAGUAUUUUUCUCAUUCAUUAGCUAGAAUCUUAAUAAAAAAAUGUUCUAUGCCAUCUUA